GAAGAGGCCUGCCGAUUCAAUGACACGUGGCUUCAGUUCGUGAAUUCCCAGGGAACCAAGCUACAGGGAACCAGCUGUAACCCAAUAAACUAUGGGAAGUUAACUGCUACCUGUGCUAGGCUACACCAAAAAACAGUAUGUGAGCAGACUGAAAUCUAUUACACAGCAGUGCUAACUAGAAGGAGGCUGAGCAAUCUAGCCUACAAUCACCGUUAUAUGCAAUAUAGCUGAUAAACAGAUAACUGAAAGGGAGCUGACAGAUACUAACUUUUCUCAAAAAGUGAUCUAGCUACCCUGAGUAUGCAAUCCAACAGGUGAUGCACUCAGUAACACUGGGGAAAGGAUUCACCAGCACUUACAUAGAGGCCGCUUUUAAGAAGGCCUACUAUCAUAAGCGGGUGCCAACCUGUGGCAGCAUAUCAAGCUCACAUACCAAAUGUAGGGCAAACGUCUAGAACUCAAAGGAAACUUUGAAAUACAUGCCAUUUGACAGAGAGAAAAAAUAAAAUCAUUGCUACAGAUUCUCAAAUCUGUUCCAAGCCUAGAGGACAGAGCUAAAAUGCUGGCAUAGUCAACUCAAACUUGAAGAAAUCAAGUGGCUCGGAAGAAAAUAUUUUUUCCUCUCAGCAUGAAUGUUCUAGAGAGUGGGGCCUAGCAACAUUAAUAGCAUAAACUUAUCUACGCAAAGAUAAGGGCCUACCACCUGAGAAACAGCAUCAGGUCUCUAACCAAGCAGUCUAAAAACCUAGCUGUUACACUCAUCGUUGCACCUACAUAAGCAAUGGGAUAAUCUGGG